CACACAGGUGUGUAUGUUUAGCAACACAAAUGCACAAAUCCGGGGGUAUCAUCGGAUGGGGUCACAGUGUCUCCUGACCCCUCCUGUCUCAGCCUCCAGUUUUUAUGCUGCAGUAGUUUAUGUGUCGGGGGGCUAGGGUCAGUUUGUUAUAUCUGGAGUACUUCUCCUGUCUUAUCCGGUGUCCUGUGUGAACUUAAGUAUGCUCUCUCUAAUUCUCGCUUUCUCUCUUUCUCUCUCUCUCUGAGGACCUGAGCCCUAGGACCAUGCCUCAGGACUACCUGGCAUGAUGACUCCUUGCUGUCCCCAGUCCACCUGGCCGUGCUGCUGCUCCAGUUUCAACUGUUCUGCCUGCGGCUAUGGAAUCCUGUCCUGUUCACCGGACCAUGCUGAAUAUAUGUCCUCCAGACGUUAUGUUGGAAGUCUUUUAUACCAAGUCUCACCACAAGGGGGAGACAGGCAUUUGUGAGCUCUGGUUGGUGAUGUACUUUGACAUUGGUGCCACUUCCUCAUUCUGAGCGAAGCUGUCCACGAACCAGUCUCAUCAUUUGUAAUGUUUUGCAGGAUACUGUUAUCUGUUGACGUGGUCCUAAUUCGGGACCUGUUACACUACCAACUCCCACCUGACACUAUAGAUAUCACACAUACACAUUUCUCGGGAGCAGCAAAUGCAGGGUCAACCACAGAGCAACGCUCCAGGAGCGGUUGAGGGGUUAAGUGCCUCGAUCAAGGACACAACAUUAGGGAAUUGUAGCUGUGACCUGAAACCAGCAGUCUUCCAGUUGUCAGUUUAGUUCCAGAUUUUCAUCACCAGAACCGAGACUUGAAUCAAUGACUUUCUGAGCUACGUAUUGUUUCCUUGUAUCAGGCUUUACAAUCAGAUAAGUGAAGUAAUAUGUAAUUGCAAUGGAUUUAAUGGAAUAUGGAUUCAUUUGCUGAUAUGAUCAUACUGUCAAUGCGAGUAAUGGACUCUCUUGCUUGGAU
ensembl:lncRNA